rnacentral:lncRNA from 1 species
UUUGUGCUUUCAACAAAAAAAUUGUUUUCGUAAACCGUAAUUUUAGUCAACCAUCGCAGUAUAAGAGUUAAAAACACAUCCAAAACCAAAAUAAAAGUCAAACAGUCCAGAGAGUCCAAUAAUUACAAAAGUCUCAGAAAUAAUCCAUAAUAUAAAUAAAAACCAUUAUUUAAGAUAGUUCACGAACUUGUGGUCACCGUAGAGUAUCUGUCACAUCGACCCACCUAUGUAUGAGGAUUACCUAAACAAAACAAACAAACAAAUAUGAGUUUUCAUAAACUCAGUGUGUAACUUAACAGAGGCAUACAUGCAUAAAAUUCAGAAUUCCAGUAUACCAGAACAGAAACGGACAUGGGUUCUUAUCAUAAUCAGAUUUUCAAAUACACACAAAUAUACAGAGUUUUACCCCUAUCCUCUACACACCAUCUUCGUCUAUCCUAACAUACCAUGUGGGGUAUAAAACACCCACCCAUCCCUACACACCACAUAAUGUCUAUACGAAACUUAUCAAAAUAGUAUGCAGCCAAGCUGCCAGUAUAUCAGUGAAAUGUCGCCUCACAGAACAUUUCCUCCACAUAUACAACCCCACCCCAUGUUCAGAUGCAGAAUACAGAUAUACGAUCUUAUCAAAUUAAACAUGCUCGAAUACAGAUAUCAUACAUAAUUAUGCAAAUCAAUCAAACAUACAUUUCGAUUUUCAUAUACUCAAUUAGUCUAUCAGUUUAACAGAUAUCAUGCAUUAGGGUUUAAUUAGCCCUUACCAAUCCUACGAAAGGCCCACAGUCGAUCGAAACGACAUGUGCAACCCUAGGAAAAAUUUUAAAAUUUUUUUAGCUUUCGUUGAACCCCGUUUUCUCGUGUUUUUGUUACACACCUGGUUCAUUUUCGCCGCUAAACCUCCACGAGACUUCUGAAACUUGGAAAAACCACAUAAAUGAUCAACUCCACAAAUUGAAACACCAAUUUACCAAAACCCCAAACAGCAUACUCGAAGUAUCAGCUUUAUUAAAGCACCCAAAGCAAAUGCCUACUUACCAACAACGACCAGCAACCGUGCAAUGUCUAACCCGCUAAAGGAACACCACCCGACUCACGAUUCUCCCCUAAUCGAGCACUAAAAAAAGUAACACAAUUAAACGAUCCUUCCAAA